AUUUGCUCAAUUCCACCGUUAAGCCGCCUGAUCUCAUUGCAUUUCGGAAGUUUAGGAUCGUCGGGCCUGGUUAGUGCUUGGAUGGGUGACCACCAGUGCUUGCCAGGUGUUGUAGGCA
rnacentral:rRNA from 1 species